CGUAAGAACACCAAUAAAAGAAUAAAAUAAUAAAGGAAUAAAAGAAUGCCCUCCUAUGGCACAUUUUGUUUAUCUGCGUUUUUU
rnacentral:ribozyme from 1 species